UUAUACAGCCUAUGGGUUUGGACUCUAUCCACUGUUAGAGUAUCAUAGAGAAUAGUUUCCCUGACCAAAAAAUUCUCUGUGCUCCAUCCACCUGUUCAUUCCUGUCUCCCUCCUGACCCCUGGCAACCACUGAUCUUUUAACUGUCUUCAUACUUUUGCCUUUUCCAGAAUGUCAGAUAGUUGGAAUCACACAGUAGCCUUUUCAAAGUGGCUUUUUUCACUUAGUAAGUAUGCCUUUAAGUUUCCAUCAUGUCUUUUCAUGACUCAAUAGCACAUUUCUUUUCAGUGCUGAAUAAAAUCCCAUUGUCUGGAUGUACUGCCAUU
rnacentral:lncRNA from 10 species